rnacentral:rRNA from 1 species
AACGAACGCUGGCGGCAGGCUUAACACAUGCAAGUCGAACGGGUGUAGCAAUACAUCAGUGGCAGACGGGUGAGUAACACGUGGGAACCUUCCUAGAGGUGCGGAACAACUCAGGGAAACUUGAGCUAAUACCGUAUACGCUCGUGAGAGGAAAGAUUUAUCGCCUUUAGACGGGCCCGCGUCGGAUUAGGUAGUUGGUGGGGUAACGGCCUACCAAGCCUACGAUCCGUAGCUGAUCUGAGAGGAUGAUCAGCCACACUGGGACUGAGACACGGCCCAGACUCCUACGGGAGGCGGCAGUGGGGAAUAUUGGACAAUGGGCGAAAGCCUGAUCCAGCAAUGCCGCGUGAGUGAUGAAGGCCUUAGGGUUGUAAAGCUCUUUUACCCGGGAUGAUAAUGACAGUACCGGGAGAAUAAGCCCCGGCUAACUCCGUGCCAGCCGCCGCAGUAAUAC